rnacentral:rRNA from 1 species
CACGUAGGGACCAAGCGUUGUCCGGAUUUAUUGGGCGUAAAGAGCUCGUAGGCGGCUUGGUAAGUCGGGUGUGAAACCUCCAGGCUCAACCUGGUGACGCCACCCGAUACUGCUAUAGCUUGAGUUCGGUAGGGGAGCGGGGAAUUCCUGGUGUAGCGGUGAAAUGCGCAGAUAUCAGGAGGAACACCGGUGGCGAAGGCGCCGCUCUGGGCCGAAACUGACGCUGAGGAGCGAAAGCGUGGGGAGCAAACAGG